ensembl:lncRNA DGCR5 DiGeorge syndrome critical region gene 5
GGUCCCCGACCCUCCAUUGCAGCCAGCUCUCUCUGGAACUAACAGAAAGGCCCCCUGGUAAGGCCAGCCAGCCGGAGGACCACCCCGCAGACCACACGCCCAGGGCCUGGCACCGAGGGGGAGGCCCCGAUCAGCAGGUGAAAGCGACACCCUGAUGACACUGGCUAGUUCACCUUCACUCUGGUCAUCGUUUACUGUACCCCGGGGCAGCUCCCGCCUGAGCCCUAUGACCCCAACCGCCGCAGCCUCUGGCUGCCUCACUGGCCCAUCAUUAAUACGUCGAUGGUGAGCGCACUGGUGUACAGCGAGGGGGCUCCACUUCCGAGACCCCUGGAGAGGCCCGUCCUGGUGGAGUUCACCCUGCUGGAGAUGGAGAAGCGAACCAAGCCUGUCUGUGUGUUCUGGAACCAUUCCCUGGCGUAAAUGUGAUGCCGGGAGUUCUGCAUCUUCAUGUUUACAGAUCUGGGACUGAAACCCGCACAAGGAUAAAUGGCUGCCUCAAGGCUAUCUUGCCCAUUCUGAAAGAAAAAGGAAGUUCUCGUCGCAGAAAGAAAAUAAUACCAAAGGGAAACAAAAUUUCAAGAAGGAAUAAAGAACAGUGGAAGAGUAAAUAUGAAGACCAAGAGCAGUGAUGACCUUUUAGCUGGAAUGGCCAGAGGGGUAACGGUGACUAAUGGUGUUAAAGGGAAGGAAAGCUCCUGCCCAUCUGCAGCACCUUCGGCAUCUGCCCCUGCCAUGACCACUGUGGAGAACAAAUCCAAGAUUAGCACAGGAACAAGACGAGGAUGCCCGUUCUCACCACUUUUAUUAGACAUCACACAAAUAUGCAAGAGAAAAAAAUAAAAGCCACCCACACUGGAAAAGAGGACAUCAAAUUAUCCUUGUCUGAUGAAGAUGUGAUCUUGGAUUUACAAACAUGUAAAGCCUCCACCAGAAAACUCUAGACUUGAUAAAUAAAUUAAUACAGUCAUUUGCAGGAUACAAAAUCAACAUACAAAAAUCAGCAGCAUUUUAUACACCAAUAAUGGUCUAGGAAAGAAAUUAAGGAGGCAAUCCCAUUUACAAUAGCAACAAAAUGAAAAAUGAUAUGCCACAGAGGAAAUUUUACCAAGGAGGUGAACGAUUUCUACAAGGAAAACUACAAAACACUGAUGACAAAGUUUAAGAGGACGGAAAGAAAUGGACAGUCAUUUCAUGCUCAUGGAAGGAAUUCAUAGCAUUAAAAUGACCACACUGCCCAGAGCAGUCUAGAGAUUCAAUACAACCCCUACCAAAAUACCAGUGUCAUCUCUCACAGAACUGGAAAAUCGUAAAACUCAUAUGAAACCAAAAAAGAGCUCAAAGAGCCAAAGUCAUCCUCAGCAAAAACAACAAAACUAGAAGCACCCCAUUUCACUGCAAAUUAGAAUGACAAAAUUUUUGACAAGUGCAUGGUAACCAAAACAGCAUGGUCCUAGCAUAAAACUAGACACAUAGAUCAAUGGGACGGAUGACAGAGCCCAGAAAGACAGCCACAUAGUCUUGGGGCUUGUGUCUCUCCUGCUGUGCAUCCAUGCUGGGUGCUUUACAUACAACAGGCAGACAAGAAGUCCCUGUUGCAAGUGAGGACAAAGUGUGGGAAGGCCGUGAGGGUCUGCAGUCCCAGAUGGCCUUGGCCUCACCCCGCAGUGCGCUUUUGCACCAGAGUGCCACCUUCUUCUCCAGGUCCAGGUCUUCAGCAGUGACCCCAGACCCCAGCUGUAAGGGAGGUGGCAGCAUCAGAGGCUCCCCUUGCCUGAGUGGCAGCAGAGGAAACUUGCAUCUAUGGGGCCUAGAGGCCUGGGAUGUGGGGGAGCCAUUCCUGGGGGCAAGUGUCUGCCCUGGUGCUGCAUCUGCUGCCUUUUCACACUGGGUGAGACCCCAAGAGACAGCCUGAGGCCGGUCCUCACUCACUGUCUUUGAGGACCUGAGGGGCAGCUGACAGUGGGAUGAGGCUGGCCCCCUCCUCUUUGGUGACAGGAAGCCUCCCAUGGAACUGUAGGAGCUCACGAUGGCAUUUUGUUUGGUGCACGAACUCAUCCAGGAGGUCUGGGAUCUCUGGUUUUAUCCGACUUCUGACCUCUGGGCAUGGAGGUCUCUCUGCAGAGGCCCAGGCCUGGGCACGAAGGGAGAGAGGCCUCCAUUGUCCCACAGGGGCCUAAAUGCAGACUGUGCAUCCCCGGUGCCCUCAGGAACCCUUCUCUGAUCAUCAGGAUUCUCUUGGACUCUGGGGUCCUUGUCCUGCUCAGGCAUCCCUGCCCCCCUCUUCAGGAGGGCCCUCAACACGAUCUUCUCUGGACAGGAGUCUGGGGCACAACUGGAUGUUGUGGGCCCCAAAGGGGUGACUCCCUGCUCCUGGGCCCCACAGAGAGUCCUUGUGCUCAGUGCACUGGCUGAGCUGCAAGACAUCCUGGAAUUGGGAGCACACAGCACCGGCUUGCUGUGGUACCUGUGCAUUCAAAUUGAAGGCAGGAUCGCCAGCAAGGAACACAGGGCUUGCAGGAUCACAGAAAACCCUUGGAGUUGUUUUGACACACCACUGAUGCCAAGUGUCUGGGUACUUGUAGGAUGGCCCUGCCAUUCCAUCCAGGGGCAGUGGCAACAGGGAGAUUCCACAAACAAAGUGAACUGGGGGAUGGGAUGAGCAGGCUCCAGGCAACUGAGCCCUACUGGCAGGCCCUUGGCCCCCGGGGCCGGGACAGGGGUGACAGACACAGAGUGCCCAGGUAACCACUCCUGGGAGCAGUGGGGAACCGUCGGAUGCUUCAACUCUUGAGAGCUGGGCUCUAAGCAUCCGCCUUAGCUGCCAACUUGGCCAAAGGCUAUGCGAGCAGUUUCCCGUUGACGGGCAAUGCAUCUUUCCAACCUGAGCGAGUGGGUGUGUGUGCAAAGAUGGUGCGAGUCACGGAUCUGCGCAGGAAGGGUGACUUUAAGGGAUUAGCAUGGCCAGGUAUGCACACAAGGCACCUGCUGGCAAUGCCUUGGUGGGGAGCGGGCAGUGCACACAAGAGGUACUGGAGGGAGAGGCGCGCGGGAAGAACAGGCGCGCACAAUGGCUGCAGAUCCACCUGUGGAUCGCUGAAGAUUCCUGCUGAGGGUUGAGGCUGCUGGGCUGGAGGACUGUAUGGUCCAUGCAUUGUAAUGUCCCCUUCUCUCCCUGGCCCGGAGCCCCAAGAGCUAUCCGGACUCUCUCCAAGACCUGGUUCUGGCCCAGCAAAGAGGUCUCGGCAGGGGAGCAGGAUUCCCGGCCCAGCAGCUGGCUCAGGAGGUGACAGCUUUGGGAUUCGCAUCUGAGCAUCCUCCUACUCUUCUCCUGGGAACUCUGUUGGGGAGGGUUGCUCAGAACAGAAGUGCCUGGGACGCCCAGAUCCUGCUGGAGUGGCAGCUGGGGUGAUGGCCAGGGCAGGCUGGGAGGGACAUACUUUCCAUAGGACCCAGUGCUUUCAUCUCCGUGCAACUGACCAAGAGAAACCAAACCCAAACUCCUUCCUUUACACAGACCUAUUUGAGGGAGGCUGGGUAUUGUUUGUGUAUUUCAACCUAACAAGAUUUUGAGAUAGUUGGAAUGCAGAAGGAGACAGGAGGACUCAAGUGUCCUGUCUUUUGCAAAAAUGUCAAACGUAGCUACUCAGUCUCUUUUUUGUUUUUUUGUUUGUUUUGAAGACUAUGGUUAUUUUGCAAAAUAUAUAUUAUUUGAGUUUCUCUA